UACGAAGGGGGCUAGGCGUUGUUCGGAUUCAUUGGGCGUAAAGGGUGCGUAGGCGGCGCGGUAAGUCGGGUGUGAAAUCUCGGGGCUUAACUCCGAAACUGCAUUCGAUACUGCGAUGACUUGAGUCCGGUAGGGGAGUGUGGAAGUUCCUGGUGUAGCGGUGAAAUGCGCAGAUAUCGAGGAGGAACACCGGUGGCGAAGGCGGGUCUCUGGGCCGAUACUGACGCUGAGGAGCGAAAGCGUGGGGAGCGAACAGG
rnacentral:rRNA from 1 species